GAACAGGCUACAAAAGAAUGACCUCAAGAAGUCUUUGGUAAAAUCCUAUCCCCAUGACUAUGCUUACAUGCUGGUCCGGGUGGAGAAGUAAGCAUGGAAUGCCUUUGAUUGACAAAGCAUAGAAUGUCUUUGAUCGGCAAAGCAUGGAAUACCUUUGAUCGACAAAGCAUGGAAUGCCUUUGAUCAGUAAUGCGUGGAAUACCUU
rnacentral:lncRNA from 1 species